UAUACGACUAGGUGAAGAUCUGACAUCGCGGAAUUCUUCAAGGAUAACGCAACUUUUCUGCCAAACGAGGUCGUAAUUGCUGCUGUGUUGUGCAUCCCAAGUACCCCCUGCAUUCUUAUCAAGGAUUGCUGUCAUUCAAGAACUUAUAAUUUCCUCCCCCAUUGUGGCUGAGC